rnacentral:rRNA from 2 species
CACGUAGGGAGCAAGCGUUGUCCGGAUUUAUUGGGCGUAAAGAGCUCGUAGGCGGCUCAGUAAGUCAGGUGUGAAACCUCCAGGCUCAACCUGGAGACGCCACCUGAUACUGCUGUGGCUAGAGUCCGGUAGGGGAGCGUGGAAUUCCUGGUGUAGCGGUGAAAUGCGCAGAUAUCAGGAGGAACACCAGCGGCGAAGGCGGCGCUCUGGGCCGGAACUGACGCUGAGGAGCGAAAGCGUGGGUAGCAAACAGG